GUAGUCUGCAACUCGACUACAUGAAGCUGGAAUCGCUAGUAAUCGCGAAUCAGAAUGUCGCGGUGAAUACGUUCCCGGGUCUUGUACACACCGCCCGUCACACCAUGGGAGUUGGUAACGCCCGAAGUCAGUGACCUAACCGAGAGGGAGGAGCUGCCGAAGGCGGGACUGAUAACUGGGGUGAAGUCGUAACAAGGUAGC
rnacentral:rRNA from 1 species